rnacentral:rRNA from 1 species
AGAGUUUGAUCCUGGCUCAGAUUGAACGCUGGCGGCAGGCCUAACACAUGCAAGUCGAGCGGCAGCACGGGUACUUGUACCUGGUGGCGAGCGGCGGACGGGUGAGUAAUGCCUAGGAAUCUGCCUGGUAGUGGGGGAUAACGCUCGGAAACGGACGCUAAUACCGCAUACGUCCUACGGGAGAAAGCAGGGGACCUUCGGGCCUUGCGCUAUCAGAUGAGCCUAGGUCGGAUUAGCUAGUUGGUGGGGUAAUGGCUCACCAAGGCGACGAUCCGUAACUGGUCUGAGAGGAUGAUCAGUCACACUGGAACUGAGACACGGUCCAGACUCCUACGGGAGGCAGCAGUGGGGAAUAUUGGACAAUGGGCGAAAGCCUGAUCCAGCCAUGCCGCGUGUGUGAAGAAGGUCUUCGGAUUGUAAAGCACUUUAAGUUGGGAGGAAGGGCAGUUACCUAAUACGUAUCUGUUUUGACGUUACCGACAGAAUAAGCACCGGCUAACUCUGUGCCAGCAGCCGCGGUAAUAC